UACGUAGGGGGCGAGCGUUAUUCGGAAUUACUGGGUGUAAAGGGUAUGUAGGCGGCCUGACAAGUCGCGUGUCAAAGUCCAGCGCUCAACGCUGGGUUCGCACGCGAUACUGUCAGGCUUGAGGACUGGAGAGGUGAGCGGAAUUCCCGGUGUAGUGGUAAAAUACGUAGAUAUCGGGAGGAACACCAGCGGCGUAGGCGGCUCACUAGACAGUUUCUGACGCUAAGAUACGAAAGCGUGGGGAGCAAACAGG
rnacentral:rRNA from 1 species